GCGCCCAUAGUUCAAUGGAUAGAGCGUCAGCCUCCGAAGCUGAAAAUCCAGGUUCGAAUCCUGGUGGGCGCACCA
rnacentral:tRNA from 1 species